AGUGAAGUAUGAGUUAGUGGCGGACGGGUGAGUAACGCGUGGAAAACCUGCCGUAUACUGGGGGAUAACACUUAGAAAUAGGUGCUAAUACCGCAUAAGCGCACAGCUUCGCAUGAAGCAGUGUGAAAAACUGAGGUGGUAUACGAUGGUUCCGCGUCUGAUUAGCUAGUUGGUGGGGUAAAAGCCUACCAAGGCAACGAUCAGUAGCCGGCCUGAGAGGGUGAACGGCCACAUUGGGACUGAGACACGGCCCAAACUCCUACGGGAGGCAGCAGUGGGGAAUAUUGCACAAUGGGGGAAACCCUGAUGCAGCGACGCCGCGUGAGUGAAGAAGUAUUUCGGUAUGUAAAGCUCUAUCAGCAGGGAAGAAAUACUGACCAUAGGGUCAGCAGACGGUACUUGACUAAGAAGCCCCGGCUAACUACGUGCCAGCAGCCGCGGUAAUACGUAGGGGGCAAGCGUUAUCCGGAUUUACUGGGUGUAAAGGGAGCGUAGACGGCAGCGCAAGUCUGAAGUGAAAUGCCAGGGCUUAACCCUGGAACUGCUUUGGAAACUGUGCAGCUAGAGUGCAGGAGAGGUAAGUGGAAUUUCUAGUGUAGCGGUGAAAUGCGUAGAUAUUAGGAGGAACACCAGUGGCGAAGGCGGCUUACUGGACUGUAACUGACGUUGAGGCUCGAAAGCGUGGGGAGCAAACAGGAUUAGAUACCCUGGUAGUCCACGCUGUAAACGAUGAUUACUAGGUGUUGGGGGACCAAGGUUCUUCGGUGCCGUGGCAAACGCAAUAAGUAAUCCACCUGGGGAGUACGUUCGCAAGAAUGAAACUCAAAGGAAUUGACGGGGACCCGCACAAGCGGUGGAGCAUGUGGUUUAAU
rnacentral:rRNA from 1 species